CCCUUAGAUGUUCUGGGCCGCACGCGCGCUACACUGAUGCGUUCAACGAGUUUAUAACCUGGCUCGACAGGGUCGGGUAAUCUUUUGAAACCGCAUCGUGAUGGGGAUAGACCAUUGCAACUAUUGGUCUUCAACGAGGAAUUCCUAGUAAGCGCGAGUCAUCAGCUCGCACUGAUUACGUCCCUGCCCUUUGUACACACCGCCCGUCGCUCCUACCGAUUGAGUGGUCCGGUGAACCUUUCGGACCGUGGCCGUCUCCCGGGCAACCGGGUGGGCGGCCGUGGGAAGUUAUGUAAACCUUAUCACUUAGAGGAAGGAGAAGUCGUAACA
rnacentral:rRNA from 1 species